rnacentral:rRNA from 1 species
ACGUUAUGGUGGGCGACUCUAAGGAGACUGCCGGUCGACAGACCGGAGGAAGGUGGGGAUGACGUCAAGUCAUCAUGGCCCUUACGGCCUGGGCUACACACGUGCUACAAUGGUCGGUACAAAGGGUUGCCAAGCCGCGAGGUGGAGCUAAUCCCAUAAAACCGAUCGUAGUCCGGAUCGCAGUCUGCAACUCGACUGCGUGAAGUCGGAAUCGCUAGUAAUCGUGAAUCAGAAUGUCACGGUGAAUACGUUCCCGGGCCUU